AACCCCUCUAAAACCAGGCUGGUCAACCAGCUAACCAGCCUAGGGUGGUUUAAGCUGGAUUUUUCAGCAGGGAAAAUCAAAUAAAAGAUUGUUCUAGAUCAGUGGUUCCCAACCUUUUUUUUUGCCUGAGACCCCCUUUUCCCUGUAAAAUAUUGUAAGACCCCCUCCACAUUUAAUGAUAUAAUCGCUCAUAUAAGUUUGCAGUAAUGAUGACAAAAAAUGUUGUUUUCAAACUAACGGUAUGUUUAUUACUAUAUCUAGAUAUCUUUAUGCACAAAUAAUAAGCUAAUGUAAAAUAUAUAAGCAAAACAUCAGUCAGCCAUGUGUAACUAAUAAACGUAAGCCUUUAAUCUUUAAAUUGGCCCGAUUUGACAUUCAAUAACAAAAAUAUCACUAUUUACACUGGUGUAUGAGGGGAAAAAUGAACAGAGGGAAUUACAAUUUAAUACUUGUUAUUUGUUAUGCUACACCAAUUAGUGUAAGGAUUGCUGCGAGGUGAAUCAGUGCAACUCUUUGUGGAGAACGAAUUGCAAAAUUGUCAAUUUUUGGUGGGGGGGUGGUGUUUCCUAGGUUGUAGGUUGCUAGGCAAACAUCAGCCAUUUUCCCAGAGGAAUGAGGAUGACAAGCUGACAAAACAUUGCUGUCACUCUGAUACAAGUUUUAUCUGUGGGAAAAAUGACAAGCACUGCAGUGUUUGGGUGUUAGUCUGAAAAAACGAAUCUUACCGAAAUAUUAAUAUUCCAUACAAGCUGAAGCUGAUCGGUCAAUUCUUGUCACGUGACUUGUGUUGCGCUUGCGGCCCGGUGUUCACUGGUGCAAGUGCGUCACGCUGCUCCAUUGGAAACAACAAACUUGUGCAAACUCUAGAAAUACGCGAUGUGCGAACGGCCCCAUAUGCGAUCUCCAUCAGUUGAUCUUCUUGCAGAGCCAUGCUGGAUUCACCUGGUUUGUUGACAAAUCAGGGUUGGGAAUCCAUACGUUGGCAGUUCGUGGGUUAUUCACUGGGUCUUUUUCCCUUAGCAAAGACACUUUCCAAAGACGUCUGUUUUUUACUCGUUUUGUUACUCGUGGGUUAAAUCUGGGCGCUUGAGUGACCGAGAUGUAAGCGAGAGUAUGGUUAUUAUUCAACAUGAAAGAUCAUUCAGACUCAAAUAAUUCAAAUUAUUAAUGAUUUCUUGUGUGGCCCGGUACCAAUUGAUCCAUGGACCGGUGGUUGAGGACCACUGAGCUAGGGGAUAAAAUAAACUAAGGCAACAUAAUCAUUCUGCUAAUUGUCCACUGCUAAGAACUGUUUAAAAUAUGACGCGGCCCACAAGGGCCCCUGUUGGGAACCACUGUUCUAGAGUCAGGUUCAGGCACUGUUUUGGCACCAAAACCAAUGUAAAAGUGUUGAUUUAGCACUGGUAUCACAAUAACCCCCCCCACCCGAAAAAACGCCAGUGGUUUGUCAGCAUGCGUAGUGUAUUUUUAAUAUAUCCAUGUAAUAAUACUAAUCCAACACAUGUACCUUCUUGAUGUCCUUAUUUUGCAUUUAUGAGGAAAAAGCUUCGUUAUGGAUGUGACCAAUGAGAAAUUUACACUUCUGUGUCUUUGAUAAAUGAAAUAAAAUAGUUUGCAGUCGUUGACGGGGAUAUUUGGAGUGUUUUAGAGUACUGUGAAAUACAAAACUACACAGACUCAAAGAAAGAGUUUCACUAUUUUGGUGAAAACUUUAUUAUUUUGAUGACAGGAUUGACAUUUGCAUAGAGCUGCUCAGAUGCCUGACACUAUACACAGCUUUAAAUGGAACUAAUUUACAUAUUUAAAUUCAUUAACAUUUAUUUUGAGUGUUGUGAAUAUUUCAGAUGUGUGUGUGUGUGUGUUGUGCAGGACAGAAGCGUAAGUGAACACACACACGCAUGUAUAUCAUUAAUAGAGAUCCUGUAUGCGUCACACUUCAGCUGGAAUGACAGAAACAUCUCACAGGAAUCUUUUCGAGAAUGCUGUGGAUGAAUGCAGCUGUAUUAAAGAUGAAUACGGAGAGGAAAUAAACGGCAGCGGAGUUGAGC